AAAAGGAAGAGAAUAAGAAAACAAAGGAGUUAAAUAAUGAAGAAAAUUCUCUAAGAGCAUAUAAAAUAAUAACCUAUCAUUAUUGAACAACAUCAGCAUAACACCAAAGUGAUAGCACGUGUUCACUUCAUAAAGAAUUAAACAAACUUCACCAUAACUCCAAAAAUCUAGCAGAAAAUGUAAAUUACAAAAUAAUAAAGCAUUCAUAUUUACUUCCGAAUUUGAGUUUCAACAACCAUUUACAAAUCUUAAUAAUAACUUU
rnacentral:lncRNA from 1 species